AUGAUCAUGUACUUGAAUGCUAACUUAAAUGGACGCGCCUGGUGGAGGAACCAGAGCAUGAUUUAUAGUGUGGCUCCUCUCCCCCGAAACGACUGUGAACAUGUAGGAUGGUUCGCUGUGGCGACCCCUGGUGGGAAAAGCCGAAAGAAGAAGACUGUGAACGUGAUGAAAAUCAACACCACCUGUCAUUUGGUUGGUUUGGUCCUCAGUGAUCACUGUGGUUCUGGUCAAGUUUCACGUUAUUUUUACCAGAUAAACACCUGUUAUUGUCUAUCAACAUCCGAUUGACAACCUGAACAUUGACAUAAUCAGAUGUCUGGUGAUGUGAGUGUCACAGUCAUGUAAGGAAUAAGUAUGUGCAGCCUGCUGAACAUCUGGUGUCCCUCAUUAGCAUUGUUGUUGCCCGCUGGGCAGCUGGUCACUGAGCACUUUGCCUCCUGCAACAGCUGCUCACACUGAAAACACACUGACCUUCUCUCUCAUAGCAGGCUGCAUGUUAAUGCUUAUGGUGCUGAUCAGGAUUGGCUUUCCCUCAGGUUGACUUGGGAGUUUAAUGUCAGUACUAUAGGUCCGGGUUUGACAGUGGGUUGAGUGUUUGUCUGUGUCUAUACUAUGUGGCCCUGGGAUGGACUCUCUCACCUGAUUGUCAGCUCAGAUUAGACCCAGAAUACACCUCACCCAGGACUUGUGAGCUGCUAUGAUGAUGCAAGCAAAUUUAUCUCAGUAUGUGAGAUAGGUCACAACUAGUCCCAUUGAAUUUUUAAGUUCAAAGCCAAUUCUCGUCAAGUGAAGCAACACUGUAUCCUAGCCCCUCUAGCUUUAGGGCCAUAGCUUCUAGUCUUCAGGAUCCUUAUAGUGUUUUAUAAUGUUCCACAUGCCUCAUUGUCACCAAACUUUGUUCACUUCUACUUGUUUUUAGUUGACUUCGUCUGUAGUUCAUUGAUGGCGAUGGUUGGUUUAAUAAUUAACACAAAGUUAUGGCAUCAAACAAAUAUAUAAAAUAAAUAAAGUGGAUUAAGACCA
rnacentral:lncRNA from 1 species